rnacentral:lncRNA from 1 species
AUGAGUCUCAUUUUUGUUUCUCUCGGAGUCUUCUUUUCGUGUGGGAUUCAAUAGGGUUUGAUGAAUUUUCUGUUGUCUUUACGAUUUUUAGGACUACCUUAUUCAUCACAUAAAUACAUCCAUUUUUUAAGCGUAUUUGGAUUCUGUCUAUCCAAACUCUACUUCCAAUAUCUAAUCUGCAUAAAUCCCUAGUACCCGUGUCGUAAUAACAUUUGGAUUUAUUAAUAACGUUGCGACAUAUAUUUGGGACGUCAUGAAUUAAUUUAUUAAGUGCACUACUGUGUGCAGGGAUUUUUGACCCUAGAUUUUGUCCAUGGCCUAUUUGAUUGGAAGAGUAUCCGCACUCAUGGGGUGUAUUUCUAUACUCCCCUAAAACCGUCUCUAAACUCAUUCAUAUCGAUUUUUUCCUGUUCCACAGUUAGACAGAAGUUUCUGCAUAUUUUUUACAACAGGCUCUUCUAUUCCAUUACUUUGAGGAUUUGAAGGACUUGAAGGAGACGAAAAUAUGUCAUUCUUUUGCAAAAAUUCUUGGAACAUAUGGGACAAGAAGACUGUGCCUGGAUUUGAUCUCAGAUUCUUCGGAUAUCCAAAGUUAACAAACCAUUUUGAGAAUGUCUCAAUAAUUAUCUCCAUAUUUGGAUAUUUUUUGUAUUCUUCAAUUACCGUGUAUCCGGAUAAUUGAUUGCACACAUACCAGGCCAGAAUAUGGAAUCUCUCGCUCUUCUUUUGGUUUUAGUCAUUCCUUGGUGUGAUAAACAUAGUUUACCAUGAAUGUCAUGAACGACGAUCCGUGUUCAUUUAAAUACUAAAGCGUACUUAACAGCUAAGUCUUAGAUUAUAUUUCUAAAUAGUCUUACGUAAUUAUUUUCUACAAUUCCUUUUCCUUUCAGAUAAUAUUCUACUAUUUGCACGAGUCUUCAUUUUUUUUUCUCGCUAUCCCUACUAUCUCUUCAAUUAUUGGAUCGACAAAACCAAUAUUGCGGAUUUUAUCUUAUAUGGUCGCUACUCUAAUUAUUACUAACAUAUCUCUUUAUUCCAUUGUCUAAUUCUUCUUCUUCCCUUCCAGGAGCAUCUACUGGAGCUCGUGACUAAGUAUCUGCAAUAAUAUGCUAUUUUCAUUUCUUCCAUGAUACUUUGAACUGGCAAUGAUGAAGGCACAGUCUAAUUUUCUAUACUUUGGCUUAAAGAAUAGUUAUUGAAGUUCAUGUAGAGAGAAUGAUGACGACUUUGAUGGGGCGUUGUCCACUGAGGUGGAUAUGACACUUUUUAAUAGACCAUUUGAUGGCAAGGGCUUCUAUUUUGAUCAUCGCAUAUCUUGACUUUAUUUCAGUAAUAAAUCUCAAAUCACAUUAAAAUAGUAUUCAUCUUUUCCAUGACGUUGUAAAUUGAAUCCAAGACCAUUGGUUCUUGAUGCGUCUGUCUCUAAAUGCGUUUCACUCAGCGAAUCAAACAGUUCUAGGAUUUGUGGCUUGAGUAAAAUAUAUGUACUAUUCUUCACGCCUGGAAGUAAACAAACUCUUAUUUGAAUUCAUUUGUUUCUCUUCAACAUCUAACUCAAUGGUUAGGCCACUGUGCUCAAUUUUGGAGUAAAAGAUGUUAAUUGAUUGUCAUACCCGUAAAUGACCUCAGUGCUGUUCUGUUUACAGGAGUGGGAAAUUUGCAAAUAGCACUAAUUUAUUUUCGUUGACGGCAAUUACAUUCUUAUUCAUUUUGUAUCCCAAAAAAUCAAAUUUAUCUUUUGCAUAUUGAAAUGUAUGUAGACUUAAUGUGAUUCCAAAAUUAUUUGUAUCUUUUUAGGAUUCGGAUUACACUCUUAAUACGAUUCUUAAGAUUUUGGUCAUCAACUGGGGUAUACUCCACUAAUUUAUGAACAUUUGGAAUUCCGCUUAGUGUUAUGUCACACCGACUAUUGUACGCGUUUCCCAUAGAUCCCAUAUGUUUGAUUAGGAAUGCCAUCUGCCCCAUGUGUUAUCCGAUUCUAUCAUGGAUAUAGUCUUGGAAUAAUAAACAGGAACAUUACC